AGAAAUACUUUGGGGAAAUGAUUUCUUUUGGAGGGUUACUUUUUUAAAUUUUGGUUUUAGAAGUCUAGGCCCUGCCUGUAAAGAACAAAGAUGGGUUUUAAUACUGUUUGUGGAAUGUGU